rnacentral:lncRNA from 1 species
AAAGAAAUCAGAGGACACCACUUCAACAAUUAUCCAAAAAUAGGACAGAGACACCUAUCUGCCUGCACUUAGACGUGUUAGGUCACUCAGCUUGGCUGCAUGGCUGGAGAAGUCAUUUUGCCAUUAUAGGAAAAGGUAGGGGUGGAGAAUGAUGAGAGAAAGGAAGAGAGAUGACUCAGAGCGGGAAACGGCACGUAACCAAGGGAAAUUAUUUCUCCCAGACGUAAAUGGAUCAGGAAGAGAUGGGAGCAACAGGUCAUCUUUGGAGCAUUCUUUUCUUUCCCUGCCUCUGAGUAACUUGUCAUCAAGCACCUGCCAGUAACAAAAGGGGAGAGAAGGGCAGUAAGCAGGACCUGCUUCUCUAGCUGAAUGGCACACCAGUUCCAGCCAACUGCUGGCUCAGCUAACUGGGACAGUGAAACAAGGAACCAUUUGGAAAGUUGCAGGGAUAAACACACCAUUUCCCAGUGAGACAACUGCUACUUCUUGGCUCAUGAGAAAAACCUGCCCCAACUAGCUUGCUGGUCUAAGGAGGAUGAGAGACCCAUGGAACAGAGCCAGAUUUGCAGUGAGAAGCAGAGCUGCCCCAGCCACCCCAGCCCAGAUCAGCUGAGCCCUCGCCACUCACCUCCUAGAUCAAUGCCCAUGGAGACUUCCCCUACCCAACCCUCCAACCCCUCAUCGCAUGCCUAGGGAAGGAUUAUUGCAGCAGAAAAGCAGAGAUAAGAAGAGACAAGGUUUUCUUGAUUCCAAAAGCCUUGGUCCUGGGGGAAUUCAGGGCAUUAAAAAAUUGUUGGGUGCUAUAAGGGCAGAGCUUCCUGCUCAAGGAAGAGGAAAUUGGGAAAAGGAGCAAAGUAAUUUUUGAUACAUGUGUGUCACUCUCACAGGCCCAGAUCAAUUAGGAGGAUCUAAGAGUAAAGAUACUUGUGCCUCCCGUUUCUGGGUAGUGCCCAUGAAGGUAGCAACUCCCUGGAGUUUCUCUGCAUUGUGGCUGGGCAUUAUUCUGCGCUCUACACCACACUCACCAUGACAGGAUCCAUGACCCUGCAUCCCGCCUGCCCACUCAGCUUCAUUAGACUUGCACAGAGCCCCAAGAAAGGACAGAAGUGGUAAAAAGUAUUUCUAGCCCUAAGGGUCAUACUGAAUGAGCUUGAAGGACAGUGUAACAGUUUCCUGAAUGGAUCAACGACCAGGGACAGACAGGGUGAUGUCCUUACCAGCAGAUCCAAGACAUACAGCUAAGGAAGAGACUUUUCUCUACAGACCCACCCACCCAAGGAAUUGCCAUUCCUUGGCAAUUCAUAAGCCCCUGGAAGUUAGAUGCAAGCCAAAGAAAAUGGAAGAAACUAGGAAUUGACUGACAUAAAGGUUCUGCCACCUGAAGGAAUGGGGAUUGGUAAAAGAAAUUAAGUUCAGUUAGAAAAAAAGAAAAAGUUACUUCUCACAAGAGACUUCAAUAGUACUUAUGAUGUUUUCCGCUUUAAUAAAUCUGAAGCAAAUAAGGCA